rnacentral:misc_RNA from 1 species
AAGAGAAAAUGAGGGGGAGAAGGGCGUGGAGCAGAAGGAAAGAAUUGUGUAGAGAGAUAUAAGAGGGAGGUUUAAGAUAGUUUAGGUAUAAAAAAAUAAUAAAAGGGACUAAACAGUUAAUGAAACUAAAUUACAAGAAUCAACAAAUGUAUUUUUUCAAAAUAUAAGAAUUAAAUAAUUAGUUUUAUUAGGAUAGAUGGACUAAAUAGUCUAGUUUGACUAGAAUUAAAAUCUUUUAUUAAUGAAAAUUUUGACGGAGAGACUAAUAAUUUAAUGAAAGCAAAAUACAAAGACUAAAUAG